GUGGGGAAUUUUGGACAAUGGGCGCAAGCCUGAUCUAGCCAUGCCGCGUGAGCGAUGAAGGCCUUAGGGUUGUAAAGCUCUUUCAGCUGGGAAGAUAAUGACGGUACCAGCAGAAGAAGCCCCGGCUAACUCCGUGCCAGCAGCCGCGGUAAUACGGAGGGGGCUAGCGUUGUUCGGAAUUACUGGGCGUAAAGCGCACGUAGGCGGAUCAGAAAGUCAGAGGUGAAAUCCCAGGGCUCAACCUUGGAACUGCCUUUGAAACUCCUGAUCUUGAGGUCGAGAGAGGUGAGUGGAAUUCCGAGUGUAGAGGUGAAAUUCGUAGAUAUUCGGGGGAACACCAGUGGCGAAGGCGGCUCACUGGCUCGAUACUGACGCUGAGGUGCGAAAGCGUGGGGAGCAAACAGGAUUAGAAACCCGGGUAGUCC
rnacentral:rRNA from 1 species